rnacentral:lncRNA from 1 species
UUCUCUCUGAAAAUUACGCUACCUCCCGUUGGUGCCUUGAAGAAUUGGCGAGGAUCUGCGAGUUGCGUAGCCGGAGCCGGAGCCGGAGACUGGUUCUGCCUGUGUUCUUUGGGGUUGACCCCUAUCAUGUUCGAAAACAGAGGGGACCUUUUAAGGAAGCCUUCUUUAGCCACGAAAACAGAUUCGGAGAAAAACAGGCCAACAGAUGGAGGGAAGCCAUGGCCAAAGUUGGUUCCCUUGCUGGUUUAGUUAAAAGGUAAGCUUUUCCCCUUUUGUCUACUAAUUACCUCAAAUCUCUCGUGUUUCUGCAAUUAUUUUAAUUAAAUAUUUUGAUAUAAAUUUAAGAAAUUAAGAAUCACACUACCAUGCGAGUGAGGAAAGAAUCUUAAUUUUAAAAAAAUUAAGAUAAAAUUAUAAAUAACUUAGGUUUUAAAUAAUUUUAUUGAGAUUUAAGAAGUUAGAAAGAUAAAUUUAAAUUUAGUGUUAAUGAUUGUUUUAGGUUUUUAUUUAGUUAACAAUCUAUAUUUCAAAUUAAUUCGCUUAUCUAGCUUUCAUACACACAAAUUGAUAGUGUGUGUUAUUUAAAUUUUAAAUUAAUUGCAAAUUUUAGCUUAUAAUUAAAAAAAAAAAGUAGAAAUUUGUGUUUAUUAUUAAGUAAUUUAUUGCAUGAUUAUAAAAUGAAUUUAGUUAAUAUAAGGUGUUUAUGAGCCGUGGUCCUAUGGUAUUAACUAUUAAUAUAAUGUAUAGUUGCUUUAGUCUAACCCUCAAAAAAAUUUGAAAUGAUUGAAGUUUUUCUAUUUAGAAUUGUCUUGGGUCUAAUUUCUAUUACUUUGGUUGGAUUAAUCGUAACUGCAUAUUUACAAUACAAGCCUGGUGAUCAGUUAAACCUUUGAUUAAUUAACUUACCUUACCUUUUUUUACUAACCCCUUUAAUUCUUUAAUUUUAAUUUAAUUCAAUGAGGUUAAAUUCGAAUUGCUGUUCAAAAUUUUUUCAGUUUGGUGUAAUUUUCGAACUAACAAAAGUAAAAUCACGCUCUGUAGGAUUUGAACCUAUGACAUUGGGUUUUGGUCUUGAACUAUGAACAUUAAAUUUUGUUCAAAACCAUUUAUAUUUAUAAACAACUAACUAAAUUCAUUUAAGCUUAUUUAUAUAUUUUUUAUUAAAUAAAAUAUAAUUAUUUUUAUUUAAUAUUUAGUAAUUAUAUAUAUUUUGUCAUCUUUUACUAUCAAUAUUUUUUUUCCUUUUAUUAAAUCUAAACAUAUACAAUUUAAAAUUUUUUAACAUUUACAUUAUAGUAUAAUAUAUUUAAUUUUUAUAUAAUAUAUAAAUUACUUGAUAUACUCAUGACCAGUGUUUACCCCUUUAAUAAGCCUACAGAACGUGGAUGAUUUGUAAUUGGGCUCGCUUCAGUAGAUAUCUUGAAAAACCAAAAUAAAAUAUAACACAAUCUCCGAUUCAUUCAAGGAUUUGAUCAUUGAUACAAAAAUGAUUUCAUUGCUUUUUAAUAAAUUGGUUAUUGUUGCUGACGAUUGUCUAGCAACUUAAUCUUUUUACCUUCUUGAUAACCAAGACAAUCGUCAUUAAUUACUUUCCUUAUUGACAAAUAAUAUUAUAACAAUCGUUUAGGAUUUAAUCUAUCAAUAGUAACAAAAAAAAAAUCCAAUUCUGACCAACAAACAUACAAUCAAGGUUCAUUUAAGUUAGAUCGAAUGCUCACACUACACGAACAAAGAUGUAGUAACUCAAGUUAUGACUAAAAUAUUGGAACUGUAUUGUAUUAAAAGUCCAAAUCGCAAAAACUUGUCAAAAUUAUACUUUAAACUCAUUUUUCUCUAAUUAGUCUCUAAAUUUAUAAUAAAUAAAAUAUAUUUAUAAAUGAUAUAAUUAAAAACAUAAUUAGAGAAAAAAUAUAACAAAUAAUUUAGAAAUUACGCAUUUUAUCAGUAACAUUGCUUUAAUAUAUUUUUCUAAACUUCUCAUUCUUAUAUGUUUAUGCACACUCAAAAUCUCGUUCAAUAGCAAUCAAGUUAAAAGUCUAUCAGCUAAACUCAAUUAAUAUUUUAAUUGUGAUCUUUAAACCAAUAACAUUAUCCAAGAGAAUGCCUUUACUUUAUCAUGAAUGAAAGAUAGUGGUUGGCAAUUAGAAUACCUAUAAAGCUGUAAAUUAUAUUAGAGUAGAAGUCGAAAUCCCAGAUUUUUUAAAAAAAAGAAAGCAAGGCUCGACACAUUUAUCUAAGAUGUUCCAAGUUUUCAUUGCUGCAAUAGUUUGAUGCAACUCUUCUUUACCAAGUAGGGUCUUCUAACUUUUACGGUGCAUUCAGGUUGGUUGACAGUGAUGAAAGGGAAUUGAUUCGGGUUCUGCUGAGAGAAGUUCUGCAACAAGCGAAUAAUACUCCUGUGGAAGUUGCAACCUACGCAGUUGGACUGGAUACGCGGGUGACAGAGCUAACAAAUCUCUUAGACGUGAAGUCCAAUGGCAUUAAAGUUGUGGGGCUUCAUGGGAUUGGCGGGAUUGGGAAGACAACCCUUGCCAAGGCUGUCUUUAACAAGAUACUCGUACACUUUGACCACCGCAGCUUUAUCUCAAAUGUCAGAGAACUUUCAAAACAAGGAGACGGUUUAGUAUCUCUCCAGAAAAAACUCAUUGGUGAUCUCUUCGGUUCCACUGGUAAUUUUCAUCUUCCUGCGGAUGAAUUCGAUGCUAAUGCCUCGAGAAUCAGAAAGAUUAUUAAUGAAAAUAUUAAUGAAAAAAGGGUUCUAAUUGUCCUGGAUGAUGUCGACCAAGAAAACCAACUGAAUGCACUAGGACUAGGUGCAAGAGUCAAAUGGCAAAAUGAUGGCAGUAUUCGGAUCAUUAUUACAACAAGAAAUAAAGGAGUUUUAAAUGAAUGUUAUGUAAAUCGGACUUACGAGGUCAGGGAAUUGCAUUUUGAUCAAGCACUAGAACUUUUCAGCUAUCAUGCGCUCAGAAGAGAGAAACCAACAAAAGAGUGAGAAAUUGUCCAAGCAAAUUGUAGCUCUCACUGGAAAUUUACCUUUGGCUUUGGAAGUGUUCGGUUCGUUUUUGUUGGGCAAGAGGAACGUAACAGAAUGGGAAGAUGCUUUGAACAAGUUGAGAGAUGUUCGUCCACACGAGCUUCAAGAUGUGCUGAAGAUAAGCUUCGAUGCGCUAGACAGAGAAAAUCAACGCAUAUUCCUAGAUGUAGGCUGCUGUUUUCUCGAUUUGCAUACCAAGAGAGAGGACGUGGUUUCAAAGCUGAAAUAGGGUUAGGAGUUCUUGAGGAAAAAUCACUGAUUAAGUUCACUGAGGGCGAUGCUCUUUGGAUGCAUGAUCAACUUAGGGACAUGGGAAAAGAGAUGGGUUUUUUACAAAGAUUUUACAAUAAAAAAGUGGUGGAGUAAUGAUCUAAAGUUUUAAGGACCUGAUAUGUAAAAUUACCAUUUAAUUGUUUAGAAAGUGAAAUGGUGCUCCUGAUAGUGUGGCGGCGCUAAACUUGAAAAGUAGCUAAGUGACUUCUUAAUCCUCCUUAUUUAUUAUUUUUUUUUAUUUUCCUUCAACUCACUUUUUUAUUUAAUAAAUAAACCUUCAACUUAUUUUUGUAGUUAAAUAAGCUAUUAAUCUAUGAUUUUUACUCAUAAAAGUCUUUUAUUUUAUUUUUAAAGUAAAUAUAUUUUACUUAAAGUAAAACUAUUUAAAAAUGUAUAAACUAAUUCGCACUUUAUGUUUAUGUGAAUUUGAUGAGAAUAGUUUAUUAAAUAAAAAAAUUUAUGUUUAUCAAAGGCUUAUAGCUAUAAUAGUCCCUUAAGAAAAAACCAAAAAAAGUUACUAAGCCCCUUGACUUAAUUUGAACCUAGUUGAGCCCUUCUCAUUAACCUGAAAAAUUAAUUAAGCUCUUACAUUAAUAAUUUUCACAUUUCGUUACAUUAACCAUUAAAAUCAAUUGACGGACCAAUUAGAUGACGAAAUAUGAUAGCCUGUGAUUUAAUUUUUCAUAUCUCAAAAAAAAAUCAUAAAAAUAUCUAUCUAUAAUAUAUAUCAAAGCACGAGUCUUGAAAAAACUUUUGAACUGACAAAAAUAUCCUUUAUUGUUAAUUAUAUUACUAAACUACAUAAGAAUAAUAAUUUAUUAAUAUUAUUAUAUAAUAAUAAAAAGUAAGAUUAAUUAAAAUAAUAAUAUAUUAAUGUGAAAUUAAUUAAUUUGGUCAUAUAUUAUAAAGGCUCUACUUAAAAAAAACAUAAUAUAUUAUUAAUUAAUAAAACUAUAAAUCUAUAAAAUCAUUGAAUAUAAUUGGAUGAAUUUAAAAUAAUAAGAAUUCAAGUUUUUUAAUUAAAUAAAAAUAUUUUUAUAUAUAAAUACUAUUUAUAAAUUUAAAAAUAAUUAUAAUUUAAUAGAAGUUGUGAGAAUUAUAUAUUUCAAAAUAAUUAUAAUUUAAAAUACAAUUAUUAUUAAAAAUAUUGUGCUAAUUUUAAAAUAGAAUUGUUAUUUAAGUAGAACUCUAAGCAUAAAAUAUAGGAAAAAGACAAAAAAAAUUGUGAUAAUUAUAAUUAUAAUUUAUUGUUAUUAGUUAAAAAAUUUGACGAUCCUAUUUUUAUUAAAGUAAAGUAGAGUUAUUACUUAAUUAGAAUUCCAAGUAUCUUAAUAUCACUUAACUAAUAUUAGAUUUAAUUUAAAAAAUUAAUAGAAAUACUAGGCAUGCUUUAUUAAAAAACCAAAAGUAAUAAUAAAACUGAUCACCCAUAAAUGUAACCCAAAUAGAAAAAAUACAUUAUAAUUAUAAACUAUUCUCAUCAAAUUUAGUAAAUUUUUUUAUUUAAUAAACUAUUCUCAUCAAAUUCACAUAAACAUAAAAUACGAAUUAGUUUAUACUUUUUUAAAUAGCUUUACUUUAGGUAAAAUAUAUUUACUUUAAUAAUAAAAUAAAGGGUUUUAUGAGUAAAAAUCAUAGAUUAAGAGCUUAUUUAACUACAAAAAUAGGUUGAGGGCUUGUUUAUUAAAUAAAAAAGUGAGUUGAAGGGGAAUAAAAAUAAUAAUAAAUAAGGAGGGCUAAAAAGGCAAUUAGCCACUUUUCAAGUUUAGUGCCGCCACACUAUCAGGCGGCACCAUUUCACUUUCUAAACAACAAAAUGGUAAAUUUGUAUAAUAGUCCUUAAAACUUUAGAUCAGUACAUUUCAGUCCUGUGCCGCCUGUGGCAGGCCCUCCACCAGUUUGGUGCCGCCUGUGGCAGGCCCUCCACCACUUUUUUUGUAUUAUUUUGGUAAAUAAAAAAAUUAAUAUUAUUUUUGUAUUUUUUUAUUUUUUUGUAAUAUUUUUGUAAAAAACCAAAAAGAGAUUGCGCAAAAUGAAAACGACGAUCCUGAAAUGCGCAGCAGGCUCUGGGAUCGAAACCAAAUCAUGACUGUCCUGCAAAAUCACAAGCUAUAUUAUAUAUAAGAAUUGUCGUGCAUAUUUGAUACUGUUGAUACAUUACUUCGUUAUACUAUUGACAAUAGGGAACAAGAAGCAUUGAGGGUAUUGUAAUGGACAUGAAGAAAGUCUAGAAUGGGAAUCAGGUGGUAGUCCAUACAAAACCAUUUAAAUCAAUGGUUCAUCUAAGAUUGCUUCAGGUGAAUCAUGUGAAACAGGAAGGAAAGUUUAAAUUUGUUCCUCAUGAACUCAAGUGGCUUCAAUGGCAAGGAUGUGCAUUGAAAACUCUUCUUUCUGAUUUUUGUCCUCAAAAGCUUGCUGUCCUUGAUCUCUCAGAAAGCAAAAUCGAAAAGCUAUGGAGCUCUUACUCUAACAAUGUAAUGACAUAUCGUUUUAGAUAUACGCACUGUCUACUUUCUUCUGCUUGUAACUAGCUAGUUUGUGGAAAUAUAUAAGCAAUAUUUGUUUGUUUCAGGUUGCUGAAAACUUGAUGGUCAUAAACCUGCGUGGUUGCCCUCAUUUGGCUUCUCUUCCUGAUUUAUCAGGACACAAAAACCUGCAAAAGAUUGUUCUCGCGUAUUGUGUAAAACUGAUAAACAUUGACAAGUCAGUUGGUACUUUAAUUUCCUUGCACCACUUGCAUAUGACAGGCUGUUUUAACCUUGUUGAAUUUCCAAGUGAUGUCUCAGGGAUGAAAAACCUUCAAACCCUUGUCCUCACCGAUUGCUCCAAUUUGAAGGAAUUACCCGAGGACAUAGGCAGCAUGAGGUCCCUCAAAGAACUAUAUGUUAAUCGAACUGGCAUCGAGAAACUGCCAGAAUCUAUUUACCAUCUCGAGAAACUUGAAAAACUGAGCCUAAAUCGUUGCAUACAUAUCAAACAGUUGCCAAGAUGUGUAGGACAGCUAGCUUCUCUCAAGAAACUUCAUCUUGAUGGAUCUGGAUUACAAGAAUUGCCUGAUUCUGUUGCAUAUUUGGAGAACCUGGAGAAAUUAAGUUUAAUAUCUUGCGAAUCAUUGACUGCAAUUCCUGAUACUGUUGGCAAUCUCAACUUAUUGAAAGAGUUGUUCAUAAAGGGUAAAGCAAUCACAGAGUUGCCACAUUCUAUCUGUUCUUUAUCAUAUCUCAAGUGCUUGAAUGUUAGAGGCAUACAGAUGAGGAAAUUGCCAAACUCAAUUCGAGGACUGAUUUCUUCAGUGGAACUUGAUAUAGAAGGCCCAUCAAUUACGUGUCUCCCAAGUCAGAUUGGUCAUUUGAGAUUACUUGAGAAGCUUGUGAUAUUGAAUUGCACAUCACUUGAAUCUCUGCCAGAUUCAACUGGGAGCUUGUUUGCUCUCACUUUUAUCAACAUAUGCAACGCCAGUAUUACUGAGUUGCCAGAGUCUUUUGGGAUGUUGAAAAAUCUCAUCACGUUAAGAUUGGACGAGUGUAGAAAGCUUCAUAAACUUCCAUCCUCAAUGGGAAAUUUGAAGUCAUUGCAUCAUUUGUAGGUGAAGGAAACUGCUAUGACAGAAUUACCAGAAAGCUUUGGCAUGCUCACAUGUUUGAUGGUGUUGAACAUGAGAAAGGAUCCCAACAAGCAAGAGCAACCAAAUUCAUCAUUUGUAGCGUUGCCAGCAUCUUUCACGAAUCUCUUAUCGCUGCAAGAACUUGAUGCUCGGACCUGGAGAAUAUGUGGUGAAAUCCCAGAUGAUUUUGAGAAGCUAGCAGCAAUAGAGAUUCUAGAUUUGGGUAGCAAUGAUAUUUAUAAACUACCAUCAAGUCUAAAGGGACUGUCAUUUCUAAGAGAUCUCAAGCUGCCCAAAUGUGAAAAGCUUCAGUCCCUGCCUCCACUUCCCUCUAGUUUGGAGAAGUUGAAUCUUGCUAACUGUAUAUCAUUGACGACAUUAUCUGAUCUUUCCAAUAUAAAGGGCUUACAAGAAUUAAACCUUACAAACUGUGAGAAAUUGGUAGAUUUGCCAGGCCUUGAGUCCCUAACGUCCUUGAGAGAAUUGUAUAUGAGUAACUGUAGUACCUGCGCUUCAGCAGCAAAGAAAAGACUCUCCAAGGUUAGUUUUCUUUCUUUUAGAAAGUUUAUAUUUAAUGCACCUUCAGUUUAUAAAGCUUGGUAUAUUUAUAAUGACAAAACAUCUUUUUAUAAUCUUUCCAUGUAGUAUAUUUUAUCAUCUCACCGUAAUGUUUAGAUUCAAGUUUCAAGAUAAAAACACACUAAGUAAUAUUUUUCCAAUUUUGUGAAGAACUUAAAUAUGGUAUAAAUAGAUAUUAUAUAUAAUAUUUUUUAUUGAGUUUUUUCAAAUAAUAAUUAGCAAAUAAAUCACGUUUGGGAUGGAGCUUUUGAAUAUUGAUGCAACUAAUUUUAAAGGUUUAUCUCAAGAAUCUGAGAAAUCUAAGUAUGCCUGGAAGUAGAAUUCCAGAUUGGUUUACACAAGAUAUGGUUACCUUUUCAAGCCACAAAACCUGUGAUCUCACUGCGAUGAUUAUUGCAGUUGUUGUUUCCAUUAACCAUUAUAAUCCAGAUGAACUGAGAUACCAACUGCCUGCCGUGUCGGACAUUCAAGCACAGAUCUUCAAUGGCGUGGAGGCAAUAAUGACCACUGCAUUGAACUUAAUUGGGGUACCUAGAACCAACCAAGACAAUUGUAUUGUACUGUUUUGCUACGAUGAAAUUCCAGAGCUAAAAUGUGGUGAUUCUGGUGAUUUGCAUGCUAAAAGAAUGUUGAAAGAUUGUGUGUUUGAGCUUUAUUUUCAACAUGAAGAAAAGAGUAUUUUGAUAUGUUAAUGUUCGAUAGUUGAAAUCAACUCAAUUGUUUUACUAGAGUGAACUGAUUUAUCUAGAUGUGAUUUGAGUUGUAUGUAUUUAAGCAUGUGUAUUCACGAGUAUGAAGACGGGUAAUCGAAAUGAAAAAUCUAUAUUUCAAAAAAUAUGAUAUAGAGAAAUACUUAUUGAAAAAAGAUAUAUGAGAUUAAAUUGAUUAGUGAUUCUGGAAAGUUAGUGAAAGUGUUUCAUGAAAGUUGGAAGUAACUUCUUCUGGUAAGAUUUUCGAGGACGAAAAUCCCUAAAGUGGGGAGAGUUGUAGCAGCCCGAUUUUGGGUCUAGAUGGAACAAUGGUUUCGGAACCACAAAUCCGACGAGGAAAAAAUUUAUUUUAAAAUUAUGACAUGGGUUGCAUUAUGAUAGGAAGGUUGCAUGAAAAUACUGAUAUGAAAAUUUUAUCGAUUUAGUGAUUAAUUAGGGAAAUGACUUAUUUGUAUAAAAUGUAGAAUUUGAAUUCUAGAAGCUAGAAGGGUUAACUAGCUAUGAAAUUGUAAUACCCCGAAAAAUACUACAGUAAGAAAGUAAGAUAAUAUCCCUAAUAUGGUAAAAUAAGGAAAUAAAGUGAUAAAAAGGGUAAUUGAGUUAUGUCAAUAUUGGAAAGUAUAUUAUGACAUAUUAAUUCAAGAAAGGAUUAAAUUGCAAAAGUGAGAAAAGUUUUGUUACCCAAGGGUAAAUACUCAAAAUUUGAGGGGUUAAAGUGUAAAUAUGAAAAAGUUGAAGGACCAAUAGUGUAAAUAUUUUAAGGGUGGAAUAAUCUAGAAACUAAGAAAGAUGGAUGAAUUGGGACCAAAUUGAAUAGAUGAAGGAAUUAUGAGGGACUAAAUUGUAAUUUUACCAAAUUAAGUGAUGACUUAAGGAUGAAAUUUUAAAAGAUCUAAAGGGCAAAAUGGUCAAUUAGAAGAAAGAGAAAUCUAGAAAAUAAUGAUGAUGUUGGAGAUAUUUUAGAUUAAAUAAAUAAAUAUUAGUUUAUUAAUAUUUUAAUUUGAUUUUUAAAUGAUAUUUUAUUAUUUUAUUAUUAUUUUAUUUAGUGUAUAUAUGUGGAAGAAAAGAUGAAGAAUCAUCUUCUUCUUCCCCAUGCAACUAACGUAUGAAGAGAAAAGAAAGAGAGAAAAUUUUUUUUCUUUACAAUUUGGUCCUUUUACUAAAAAUUCAUCAUUUUCACUUAGAAAUCAAAAGAAUUUCCAUAUCCAUCAAGAGAGAAAGAUAACAAGGAGACUAUGGGGAGCUAGAACAUCAAGUUAGAUUCAAGAAAUAGAAGUUGGAGGAGGGAGAAAAUCAAGUUAAAGAUUGAAAUCAAUAGCACAAGGUAAGAACAUCAAGAUUUUUAUAUACUUUUGAGUUUGAUAUUAUUGAAAAAGUAGGAAAUUAAUGUUAAGGUAAAGUUUUAUUAUAUAAGGUUUUAUAUUCUUGUUAUGUUAGUAAAGGGAAAUAAGAGAAAGUGAUGGAAAAUAUUGAAGAGAAAGGAAAGGAAAGUGUUAUAAAUUUAGUUAUCAACAUUUUACACUAAAAUAGUUUUGAGACAGCAGCAGUAGUCUGACUUUGAAAAUCUACCAAAAAUCGUAUAAAUUGAAUUAGAGGAUGAAAAAAAUAUGAAAUUAAAUUUUAUUGAGUCUAGUUUCUCAUAGAAUAAACGGUGUAAGUAGUGGAAUUGUAAAUUAUGAGAUAUACUAGGUUUUGUAAGAUAAGGUCAGAAUGAUUUCGGGUUCCCCUGUACUGAAUUUGGAAAAUAAUCAAAAAUUGGAGAAAAUUAAUUAGAAGGUUAAAUUUAUAUUUUUAAAUCCUUAAUGAGUAUAUUUUCAAUAGAAACAAACGGUAACAUCAUUCGAAUUUUUUAGAAAGAGAUAAUUAAUUUUUAGUGAAGAGGGGUCAACGCUGUCGAGCAGUGAAACAGUGGAAAAUUUAAAGAAUAAACUGUACUAUUUGGCUGAACCAAAAAUUAUGAAAAUUUUAUGAUAAUAAUAUAUGUGAGUCUAGUUUUAGGGAAAAUUAACGGACCUUAAUUUUGAGCUCUUUAUCUCCGGAUAAAAAUAAUUUAGUGACUCUGACUCGGGUAAACAACUUUGAAUAUACAUGUGAGUGAAUAGUGAAAUUAUAAUUAAGGUUGUUUAAGUGUGUUAUACACAUUAAGGAUGUGGAAUGGAGUGGAGGAGGAGGAAAAAAAUAUAUGUGAAUAUUUAGAUAAUAUGAGUUUAUUUUAAAAGAGUUAAUUUACAUGUUUAGGUUUAGGGACUAAAUUGAAUAAAAGUAAUAUUUUAAGGGUAAAUUUGUAAAAAUGUCAAAAAGUGACCAAAUUAAAUGAAAUAUUAAUUUAGAUCAAGAUUGGGUGGAAAUUCGAGAAAAUAGAAAAUUACCAAAAUGUCCCUAAAUUUUGGUAUUUCUGCAAUUUAGCUUGGUAAGUUUGUAUGAACUAUAUUCUGUAUAAUUUUAUUUAAAGUGAACGUUAUUUGGUGAUGAAUAUUAUAUAGAUAUGUGUUUUAUUAUCGGAAUUGAAUUGUUAUUGGUAAUAUGUACAAUUAUUAGAUGCAUUGAAAUGAUUAUCGGAAGCUCGAUUGUGGUUGGCAGGAAAUGUUGCAUUAUUUAUAUUGUGAAGAAUUAUAAAAGCAUGUUAAUAAUUUGAAAGUUUUAAUAAUUAAUGGAAUUUUAUAACUCGGUUCAAUACGUUUACAAGUGUAUGUGUUCUGGUAAUGCCUCAUACCCUAUUCCGGUGUCGAAUAUGGGUAAAGGGUGUGACAACAAUGUUCACUUGUGUCGAUAUCCCGCAUAUCGUCCCUUGGUUUCCAUGUUGAAGGAUGGUUUUAAGAUUAAAGUGACCAGGCAAAACGCGCCCUACGUAAAGGGCGUAGAGCUGAAGAAAGCUGGGAUUUUUCUAGUUUAUGAAAAAGAUGAUGAUUAUGGUGGCGAUGAAGAUUCACUUGAUGAGAACCAGCAGUCUGUAUCAGAAAAAUUAGCCAAGUUUUUCAGCUCUCUUGAAGAAAAUGAUGGAAUUGAUCACCAAUCCAACUGCAGCCAUGAAUAAAAGAAGCGCUUCAACUCCAAAGUAAGAAACAAAAAUGUCGCCCAAUCAAAUCGUGCUGCAGUUGGUGCGGGAGGUUAAGCGUAAAAUCAUGAGAGAUUUCAAGGCGUGUAUGCCUGUUUCUAUUAUUUCACUUCACUCAAGUUGAACGCAGUAUACAUUCUUAGGAUCCAUUUGGAUGGAUAAUGAAAUAGAUUUUAGUGAGUCUAAAGACGAGGGUGACAAUAAAAUUAGUAAGACUGGUGAUUGAGAUUAAAAUUAAUGGUGAGAUAAAUGUAAUUUGGAUGUAAAUAACCAAAAAUAGUGAUAAUAGUUAAGGGAGUUGUAGUAAAAAGGUUAAAUGAUUAGUAAAUAUAUAUUUUUAGAAAUUUACCAGGUGACCGUGUCGAAUCCCAUGAAGAUUCGAUAAAUUAGAUUCGAUAUAUUCAAUAACCCAUAUGGUUAUGGGCAUAUUCAAGUCACUUUAAUCCUAUAACAUAACCUAAUUGUUUUUUCAUUCGAACUAUGUUAAUUUGUUCUUGUGAUUAGAAUAAAAGGACAAUUACGAAUCAAUCUAUCUUUAUUAACUAUGUAUUAAUUUAAAUAUUUUACCCCCUAAGCUGAUUAAUUUCCUAGCUAUUCAUAACAAAAGAUUGACUAAGGAAAUAAUAAAGGCUUUAUUCACAAUUUAACCCUUGAGCUAUACUUGUUUUCCCACAUUGAUACUUAAAUAUUUUUUAUAUCAAUUUGAUAUUUGAGUUUUGCAUCAUACUUGUUUUGAUACUUAAAAGUUAAUAAUAUAAAAAAAAUGUCAAUUAAAAUAUGUCACAUCAUUGAUGACAUGGCACAUUGAUCAAGCUGACUUGGUAUUGACCAAUAUUGACCCUGUAUUGACCCACGUUGGUCUAUGUUGACCGAGCAUUGACCAAUCUUUGACCCUCUUUGACUUAGGUUGAAAAGCAAUUGAUGGGUAAAAAAUCAUUGAAAAGUAUAAAAGAAAUAUUUAAAAUGAAAAUAGCUUAUAUAAAAUUAUUUAAAAAUAUUAUAUUAUUACUAUUUUGUUGUUAUUUUCUUGAUAUUGUAUAACUCCUAUUUUAUUAUUAAUUUUACUACUAUUUCAAAAGUAUUUACUUGCUAAGUUGCAUCUAUUUUAGUGUUAUUUAAGUUUUUUUUUAAUAUUCUCUAUUUAUUGGAAAACAUUUAUUUUAAUGGUUAGAAGUAAGUCAAUGAAGAUUGUAUCAAUUUUAGGAUUAAAUUAUAAUAUUAUCAUACACUAACUUAUUUAUUUUAUAAAAUUUAUAGCACCAAACAUGCUAUUUUUCAUGGAUGGAGAAAAGUGAGAUAUGGAAAGACAGUUGCAAAAUUUCUGGGAAGAUAUCCUUUUUUAAAAAUAUAUUAAUUGAUAAUGAAAUAAAAAAUAUUUGGAUAAAUUAUCUAGCUGGUGAUCCAAUUCUUUGGACGUUUUUAUUUUAAUCACUCAAAUUAAAAAAAGCUUAUAAUUUAAUCACUACCCAUUAAAAUUUUUCGACAAACUUUUCCACCAAUCAAAAUUCUCCUUCAUUCUUCUUUUUCUUUUUUGGUCAUAUUUCUUUCUCCUCCUCUUUCCCUAACCCAACUUUGUUCCCUUCCCAUGCCCCUGUUUCCAACACCCGACUCGGCCAUAUCACCCCACAUCAAUUCCUGAUAACUAGAGACGUCUUCCCCUGCUCUAGAACUACCCUCUAUUGUGUUAUAUACAUCUCAUCAUUGCUUGAAUUAUCUCCUUAAGGUUGUGCUGGUGGAGGCUGCAUUUCCAUUUUUUGUCCUUGUUCUUGCUUUGAACUUGAUGGACGUCGAAGCCACCAAAAAUAAUUCUUACAAUUAAAAUAACUCUAAAUAGUAGUAAAGAGUGGUAGUAGGGUCGAGCCCACAAGGAUUGGUAUUAUAAUCAACUUUUGCGUUUAACUUAUGAUCAGAAUUUCUGUCGUGUCGAUAACCGUGGCAAUAGUCGUUUGUGCCUACGACUCCAACUGAACCUGCUGAAAAAUAAACAAAUAAAUCACGAGAGUUUUAAAAUAUUUAGAAAUUAAAUAAUUGAAAUAGCAUAAAUAAACAAUUAAAUAAAUUUGAAAUAAAAUUAAAUUGGGAAUUAAAUUCGGAUUUUGUAAACAGAGAUAAUAAGCUUUAGCCCUAGACUCGGUGGAUUCCGAAUUUUGAAUCGAUCCUUAAAAAUUAAUUUUCUUCUCCAAAUAAUAAGCUGGUUAUAGCAGUUAAGAACGUCAUAACCGCCAAUUCUUUCUCUCGUAGUUGAUCCCGGCACGACCUACAAACCAACCAUUACCGAUUAUCUAACCGAGAUACACGCAUUUUCAAUUCAAGAUUCUGGCAGCCUUACGUUCUGAAGAACCUAACUCAGAUUAACGGCAUCAAUCGCACGAGUAGCUUAAACCCGAUCAUUUCUCCCUUGAUUUGUUCUCGGUGAUCCGAAUACAGCAUAGCUGACUCGUUUCCCUAACUAUCCACAAACAUGACUGCAACCCAUUGCCCUUUUUUAUUUGAAAUCGAGUUAACUUUAAAGGAUAAAUUUGUCAAUCUCGAUACUUAGGAAAAUAGUGAAUAUCGAUUGAAAAGAUUUUUAGUAUGGAUACGUAUCUCACGAUUCCCGACCGGAAAGAAUGCCAACCUAAAGCUAAAUUACAAUUUAGUGAGGCAUAGAUUUAAUUAUGCUUUGGUUGGCUAUGGAGUGGAUUUAAAUGAAAAUCGCGGAAAUUGAAAAAGGAAGGGACUUGGAAAGCAAUUAAACAAAUUUUGCAAAAAACAAUUAAAUGGAAAUGAAAGUAGCACUAGCCACUGACUCAUGAAUUUGGAAGGAAAAUAAUAAUUCUUAUUUAAUUCCAAGUGAAAUCUAAUGUCUUUUCAAGCUACCACUUUUAUAUAUAUAUAUAUAUAUAUAUAUAUAUAUAUAUAUAUAUAAUUUACUAAAUUUGACCUAACUAUCCACUACAUAUAAUUAAAAUUAAAUAAAAAUAAAAUCAGAUUUUCUUCUUAUAUUAGCUUUCAAUAAGUCGAAAGAAAUCUAAUAAGUCUUUCAUUAUUUUCAAGUUUUUGAUUUAGUCCCACUUUAUUGACUGUGCUGCAAAUUGGUCCUUUUUUUGCCCCUUAUUUUGACUCAUAGCAUUCAAUUACAUUUCUGCCAAGAUUAAAAUAUAAAAUUACUAAUUUAGCAGGGAUCAAUUCAAGACUUAACUGAUUUAAUCACAAAAAAUAAUACAAAUUUAACAUGUUAUAAGAACUUUCAUGGGAAAACAACCUCAUUAUAUUAUCCAGUUAAAACCCAAAAUAUUGGUGCCAUCAUUAAGAACAAGAAGUUAUUGUACAACACAAAACCCCAAGUGCUCAACCCAAGGUUCAUCAACAUAUGCUUAAUGUAAACCGUUUCAGUAGCGAUGAUAGUGAAACACGCAAAAACCCAUAAUAUGCAAUAAAAGUAAAAGCGGAAUCACUAGCUACAUACUCAUCAUUUAGUAAAUUUGAUUGUAAAUCAGGAUUCUGGCAAAUCAUGCUAACUGAUGAAUCAAAACCUUUGACAGCCUUUAGUGUUCCUAAUGGUCAUUAUCAAUGGAAGGUAAUGCCAUUCGGUCUAUGUAAUGCCCCACAAGUUUUUCAAAGAUGGAUGGAUUCUAUUUUUAAUAAGUAUAAAAAAAUUUGUGUGGUAUAUAUAGAUGAUAUCUUAGUCUUUUCAAAAACACUUGAAGAGCAUAGAAAACAUCUAAAUGUUAUUUCUCAAGAAUUCCUAAAACAUGGAAUUAUAUUAAGCCCUAAAAAGAUAGAGCUUAAGAAAACAGAAAUUGAAUUUUUAGGAUGAAAAUUAUCAGCUCAUGGUCUUCAACUCCAAGAUCAUAUUAUUGUAAAAAUAAAAGAAUUUCCUGAAAAAAUAGAAGAUAAAAAACAUCUUUCACAAUUUUUAAGAAUAGUUAAUUAUGGAUGAACCUUUUUUCCAAAAUUAGCUGAAAAAAUAGGAGGAUUAUAUGAUAAAUUAAAAAAGAAUAUUUGUUUUUGUUGGACUAAACAAGAUGAAGAAAUUGUAAAAAAAUAUAAAAACAGAAAUUACUUAUAAUCCAAAGGUUUAUUUACCUAAAAAAGGAGAUAAACUAAUUUUAGAAACUGAUGCAUCACAAUAUUAUUGGGGAUGUAUUCUGAAAGCUAAAACAGCUAAUAAUGAAGAACUUAUAUGCGGAUAUAGUUCAGGAAAAUUUAAGCCUAAUGAGGUUAAUUAUAUUAUUUAUGAAAAAGAAUUAUUAGCAAUUAAAAAAGGAAUAAAAACUUUCCUUAUUUAUUUAGCACCUGAAAAGUUCAUUAUAAGAACUGAUAAUCAGGCAGUCAAACAGUUUUUAACUAACAAUAGUUUAAAAACUGUUCCUAGAAGAAUUAGGUGGUAUAAUGAUUUAUGUACUUUUAAUUUUGAAGUUUUUUAUAUUAAAAGUGAUGAAAAUCUACUUGCUGAUUUCUUGAGCAGGCCUCAUGGAUAGAGGUAAACAACCUCUAAUAGUUGGUGAAUGGACAACCGUUCACAAAAAGCCCAACAAAGGGAAAGCAGAAUCAAACUCCAAAAAAGGAUUUGUACCUGCACAAAAACCAUUUUAUCCUAACCAAGGAUAUUAUGUGUCUUAUCCAAUGGUAAACCAACCACUUGGAACAAAUAUUUUAAAUUACCCUAUGAUAAAUCAACCAAUGGGAAAUACAUUUUUAUUGACCCCAAACACGGCGAGUCAAUUAAAUUGGUCCCAAAAUCUGAAUUCAGUAUCACAAACAAGUUAUGCUGAAGUCAUUAAUGGAGCUGAAAAUUUGUUGAAUCAACAACAAAUUCAAGAUUUAAAAGAUCUUUCAAAAAUUAAAGAUUUUUAUAAUCCUGGUUUAUCACCAGAAUUUUAUGAUUUAUAAAUAAGAUAUGGAAAACCCAUAUUUCAAACCAAAGAGCCAAUUUCCGAAGAGCUCUUACCAGAUUUUCAUCUUUCUUAGUUGAAAAAACAACUAAAGAAAAUGAAGCUGAAGAUUUAUUAUUAAAAUCUAUUUUAUAUAGAGAAUGGGAUGAAUUCCAAAUGGAAUUUAUGGAAAAAGAGGAGAUAAACAAUCUUCUUGAUAUUUUUCAAUAUCUUAUUUAUAAAGGGAAAAAUACCCCUAUUAUAAAUAAAAUAUUUAGAAUUUGUUUAUAUAAUAAAUCUAGACAAAUUUUACCAGUAGAAAUAUUCAACAAAAUUAAUGAAACUAUCUGUAACCAGCAGAUAAUUCAAUUUCAAAAAUCAUUUUCUGAACAUUUUCUACAAUCUUAUGUUUUUACAAAUUUUAUAAGCAAAGAAUAUCCAGCUAUAAAAUUUAGACUGGACCAUGAACCGUUUGAUAUAACAAGUAUCGAAUGGGGUUUUGUUAGAGAAAUAGUAGUACAAAAUUUUUCUUUUCAUCUUUUAAAAGAUUUUCCAGCUGUAGUAAAAUCUUUAUUACAAACCAUCGUAAAAAACGAUGACUUUUUCUAUUAUUUCUAUAUUCAAAUAAGUACUCUUAUUGGUAUUUCUGAAAAAGAAAAAUUUUUUCAGCCAUAUCAAAUAUGGAAAAUCCACAGAAUGCUCGGAAGCCCCCGACUAUCUGCUGUAGAUGAAGACAAAGAUUACUUGGCAAAAACAAUUGACAAGUGUCAAGAUAAUUUAAGCUAUUAUCAAAUCCAAGCCGGUCUUGAUUUAAUGGCUAAAGCUAAAUAUCUUCUUCAAGAAAGAAAUUAUCAAUUUAGAACUGAUGAAAGAAGAAUAUUAGCAUAUAAUUCAUAUCUCAUUGAAGAAAAUGAUGACGGCAUCAAUCUGCUAAAAAAGAUAGCAGCCAUGGACAUUGAAGAUUUUCCAUCUAACAUUCUGCAACAAAUCAGAAGUGCAUGGGAAAAUUGUCAUCAAGACAUAUCUACUAUCCAUCAUUUUGACGGAUAAAUAAAAAGUUAUGCUGAAGUCAAUUACAAUGGUCAAAACAUUAUGUUGAUUUAAAGAUAAAACUUGUGAUCAUAUUACGCAUAUAGACUCUAGAAAUGAAAACAACAUUUCAUCUCUGAGUAAGGGUAUUAAUAGUCUUGUUGAUAUAACUUCUUUUUAUUUUGGUAGGUUAUUUAGUAAAGUAAAUUCUGUAGAAGAAAAAAUAAAUAACUUAGGUAAUAUAAAAGAGUUAGAUUUAAAUAAUGAGUCUAAAGAAAUAUUAACUAGUGUUAAUAAUAAACUAGAUCAAGUUUUUAAUAGUAAUAUCGAGUCCGAUGUAAAUUUAGGUCCUUUAUAUUACGGUAAUGGUAAAGAUCAUAUUUUUGUUUUAUCUGAUGAAGAAAACACUUCAUCUGAUGAGUCGUCAUCUAUGUUAAAAAAUUAUAAAAAACAUAAAAAACGUAAAAAAGAUGAAAAACAAAAAGAAUAUGAUUUCCAAUCCUAUAAAACCCUUAUAGAACAUUGGAAAGAAAAAUUUACUAAUAGUAAUGAUCAACUUGAAAGAGUUGAAUAUUUAAAAUUAAUAGAAGAACUUUAUGAAAAACAUAAAGAUCUUUUCAGUAUGUUUAAUUAUCAUUAUAUGUUAAAAUAUGAUGAUAGUAGUAGUUCAAGUAAUUCUGAAAAAAACAGAAUUAUUAAAGAGACAAUCUGAAGAAGAAAAAACUUCAAUAGAUCAGGAUGAAGACAUAAAAGUCUCAACAUAUAAUUCUGAUGAAGAAACCACUUCAUCUGAAGAUGAAAAUAUUGAUGUUCCAGAACCCAUGGAUACUGAACCAACAGAUCCAUAUAGAAAAAGAAAAAUAGAAUUGGAUAGUCAAACAAAUGAUUAUCUGAUUAAAAAUUUAAAUAAAGAUCAAUAUACAACCAGUAUGUUGACUAGUAAUAUAAAAAAUUUAACCAUAAAGAUUAUAUUAGUAAAAGUUCACUAGGAUGGUUAGGUGUAAAACCAAAUACUCAUCAUAGGCAUAAAAAGAAAAUAUAAUAAACAAAUCAAAAGGAAACUAGAAAAUAAAAAAUUUUCUGGUCAUAUUACGAAUCAGUUUUCUAGAAGAACUUCUAAAGAACUUAAAGAUAUUUUAAAUAACAAGAUAAGUUAUAUGGUCAAAAACUUUUCUAACAAAAGAAAAGAAGUUGAAAAAAGAAUUAAAAGUCUUGAAAAACAAGACCUACAAAUAAGUCAUAAAAAGGAAAUAAAUCCUUAUAAAAUUAAAUCUGAUAAAAAUGAAAAAAUAUUUUUAUUAGAAAAUUCCAUAAAUAUUAAAAAAGUACAGACUAUUAUUCAACAAAUGAAAAUUGGGAAAAAUGAUAUUAUCACUCUUUCAAAUUUUCAACCUAAAAAGUAUUAUACAUAUAUUGAAAUUAACUUUCAAUUUAGAGAUUAUAAAAAAUAUUCUUUACAUGCUUUAUUAGAUACUGGAGCUACAACUAGUAGUUGCAGAAAAAAUGCAAUCCCUAUAGAAAAAUGGGAACCUAUGAAUAAUCCUAUAAGAGCAAUUGGUAUGGAUGGUAAAUAAACCAUAAUCCAAUAUAAAGCUAGAAAUAUACCAAUCUACAUAAACAAUGUUAGAUUUGUAAUUCCUAAGAUUUUAUGUUUUCCUGAAAUGCAUGGAGACAUAUUAUUAGGUAAUAAUUUUAUAUAUCAACACUUAUCUUUUUCUAUAGAUAGAAAUUUUGUUAUUUUAUCUGUGGAAAAUUUCUCAGUAGAAAUACCACUUGUAGAAAACCAUAAAUUUGUGUGUGAUCAGAAUUUUAUUCCAACAAGGAAAGAGCAAAUUAAACAACUAGAAACAAAUCAUUGGUUGUUUAAAAUUCUUGAAAAUAAUUUUAGUGAAGAACCAUUAAAAUUAUGGAAGAACAGUCCAAGAUACUGUGAAAUAAAAUUAAUUAAUCCUAAUAAAAUUAUUAGGGUUAAACCUAUAAUCUAAACUAAACAAGAUAUAGAUGAAUUUGAUGUUCAAAUAAAUGAACUUCUAGAAAAAGGAUUAAUAGAAAAAACUAGUAGUCCUCAUUCCAGUCCUCAUUCCAGUCCAGCUUUUAUGGUAAGAAAUCAUGCUGAAAUUAAAAGAGGAAAAGCUAGAAUGGUCAUUAAUUAUAAGAGAUUAAAUCAGAAUACUAUUUUUGAUGGAUAUUUUAUUCCACGAAAAGAAGUAUUAAUUAAUCAGGCUAAACAUGCUAAAUACUUUAGUAAAUUUGAUUGUAAAUCAGGAUUCUGGCAAAUCAUGCUAACUGAUGAAUCAAAACCUUUGACAGCCUUUAGUGUUCCUAAUGGUCAUUAUCAAUGGAAGGUAAUGCCAUUCGGUCUAUGUAAUGCCCCACAAGUUUUUCAAAGAUGGAUGGAUUCUAUUUUUAAUAAGUAUAAAAAAAUUUGUGUGGUAUAUAUAGAUGAUAUCUUAGUCUUUUCAAAAACACUUGAAGAGCAUAGAAAACAUCUNNNNNNNNNNNNNNNNNNNNNNNNNNNNNNNNNNNNNNNNNNNNNNNNNNNNNNNNNNNNNNNNNNNNNNNNNNNNNNNNNNNNNNNNNNNNNNNNNNNNNNNNNNNNNNNNNNNNNNNNNNNNNNNNNNNNNNNNNNNNNNNNNNNNNNNNNNNNNNNNNNNNNNNNNNNNNNNNNNNNNNNNNNNNNNNNNNNNNNNNNNNNNNNNNNNNNNNNNNNNNNNNNNNNNNNNNNNNNNNNNNNNNNNNNNNNNNNNNNNNNNNNNNNNNNNNNNNNNNNNNNNNNNNNNNNNNNNNNNNNNNNNNNNNNNNNNNNNNNNNNNNNNNNNNNNNNNNNNNNNNNNNNNNNNNNNNNNNNNNNNNNNNNNNNNNNNNNNNNNNNNNNNNNNNGAAACUGAUGCAUCACAAUAUUAUUGGGGAUGUUAUUCUGAAAGCUAAAACAGCUAAUAAUGAAGAACUUAUAUGCGGAUAUAGUUCAGGAAAAUUUAAGCCUAAUGAGGUUAAUUAUAUUAUUUAUGAAAAAGAAUUAUUAGCAAUUAAAAAAGGAAUAAAAACUUUCCUUAUUUAUUUAGCACCUGAAAAGUUCAUUAUAAGAACUGAUAAUCAGGCAGUCAAACAGUUUUUAACUAACAAUAGUUUAGAAACUGUUCCUAGAAGAAUUAGGUGGUAUAAUGAUUUAUGUACUUUUAAUUUUGAAGUUUUUUAUAUUAAAAGUGAUGAAAAUCUACUUGCUGAUUUCUUGAGCAGGCCUCAUGGAUAGAGGUAAACAACCUCUAAUAGUUGGUGAAUGGACAACCGUUCACAAAAAGCCCAACAAAGGGAAAGCAGAAUCAAACUCCAAAAAAGGAUUUGUACCUGCACAAAAACCAUUUUAUCCUAACCAAGGAUAUUAUGUGUCUUAUCCAAUGGUAAACCAACCAUUUGGAUCAAAUGCUUUAAAUUACCCUAUGGUAAACCAACCAAUGGGAAAUACUUUUUCAUUGACCCCAAACACGGUGAGUCAAUUACAAUGGUCCCAAAGUCUGAAUUCAGUAUCACAAACAAGUUAUGCUGAAGUCAUUAAGGGAGCUGAAAAUUUGUUGAAUCAACAACAAAUUCAAGAAUUAAAAGAUCUUUCAAAAAUUAAAGAUUUUUAUAACCCUGGUUUAUCACCAGAAUUUUAUUAUUUUAUAAAUGAAAUAUGGAAAACCCAUAUUUCAAACCAAAGAGCCAAUUUCCGAAGAGCUCUUACCAGAUUUUCAUCUUUCUUAGUUGAAAAAACAACUAAAGAAAAUGAAGCUGAAAAUUUAUUAUUAAAAUCUUUUUUAUAUAGAGAAUGGGAUGAAUUCCAAAUGGAAUUUAUGGAAAAAGAGGAGAUAAACAAUCUUCUUGAUAUUUUUCAAUAUCUUAUUUAUAAAGGGAAAAAUACCCCUAUUAUAAAUAAAAUAUUUAGAAUUUGUUUAUAUAAUAAAUCUAGACAAAUUUUACCAGUAGAAAUAUUCAACAAAAUUAAUGAAACUAUCUGUAACCAGCAGAUAAUUCAAUUUCAAAAAUCAUUUUCUGAACAUUUUCUUAAUUUAUAUUUUUUACGUUUUUUAUAAGUAUUGGGAUAUAUUUGUUUACACCCAAACUCUCAUUCGUUUUCUAAAAUUUUAGAACAAUAUUUAUGACUUAACUUAUUUUUGACUUGUUUAGCCGCUUUACUUUGCAAACAAUGUAAAGUUAUUCUUUCUUUUGCAAAGUUAAUUCUAUUACCUAUAGUAUCUAUAUUAUCUUUCGAAAGCCCUGAAUUUCUACAGUGCUUAUCUAAGUAAGAUACGUAUUUGUUUAUACAUAUCUCAUCCCAAGGUGGGGGUAACUUAUGGAAGUAUUGGUUUUUCCAAAACUCUAUAUUUUCAUUUUUUAAUUUUUGAUAUUCAUAAAGGAAUUUUUUAGAAAAUUCUUCUAAAUAUCUAAUAUCACAUAAUUUUAUUUUUGAAAGUAUGUAACUAGCUACACUAUCUUGAUCUUUUUUAUCACAAUAACCACAAAAUUCUGUUUUUAGAAUAGAGGUUAAUCCUUUUAAAAGGUCUUUAGGAGAUCCUAUUUGGUUUAAUAAAAGCUCCUUUUGUUCUUUUCCUUUCUCAGACUCUUCCAAUCGUCUAAGAAAUUGAAGAACAACACCUUGAAAAGUUCCAACAAAAUAGUUUAAAAACUUUUCUUUUAACCAAUUGUUGUUGUUUACAACAAUAGUCAUUGAUUGUGCCCAAUCAUCUAUAACUUUCUCAUAGUCUGAUAUAGGAGUAUUAGUUAAAUCUAAAUAUAUUCUUCCUUGAGCAACAUUUCUUUUAUUUAGAUCAUCUAUUCUUGGUUGAACAGGUUGAUUUGAAGUUUCUCCUGGAUAUUUAGUUGUGCAGAAUCUCUCUUUUCAUCUUUUAAAAGAUUUUCCAGCCAUUGUAAAGUCUGUCUUACAAAACAUCAUAAACAAUGAUGAUUUUUAUUACUAUAUCCAUAUUGAAAUUAGUAGUCUAAUUGGUAUAGCUGAACAAGAAAAAUUUUAUCAGCCAUAUCAAAUUUGGAUAAUUAAAAAGAUGGUUGGAACACCCUAAUUAUCUGCUGUAAAUAAAGAUAAAGAACAUUUGUCAAAAACAAUUGAUAAAUGUUAUACUAAAUUUGAAAAUUAUCAAGUCCAAACAGGAUUAGAUUUAUUAUCACAAGCCCAUUAUCUUCUCCAUGAUGAAAUCUAUAAACUAUGGACGGAUGGCAGAAGAAUAUCCUAAAGGUUGUAUAAGCCAAGGCAACCAAAAGGGGUGUCAAUGAUCUAAACACUAUGAAAGUCUCCACAAUGGCAUGGUUCAUGACGUAAAAAUCCAAACUUGCCCAAAACCCACCCUAAAGCAAAAGUUAAGUAAUGUAAUGCAGUCAAUAAACCUGGGUAAUUGAAUUUGGUAAUUGCAACUUUGUUUAUAACAGUGCGUAAGCUUGAACAAAAUGCAUAACCAAUUACAAAACUGCUUGUAGCAUUGAAGUUUUUUAGUGGAUUCAAAUCUAAUGGUUGACAUUUUGGUAACCCAGAAAGAUUAUAAAUUUGUUCUCAAAAAAUAACUAACACCCAAAGUUAAAAACAACAGGUUUUAAACGAAAUUGACAAUGGCAGAUGCAUUAAUGGGAAUUAUAACAGGAUGUGGGUAGUAGAGAAUGUUAUAUGAUUUGACAAGAAAAAUCAACGAAUAAACAAAUUUAAAAGUAUAAUGGUGAAAUUAAAAGAGAAAUACAAAGGAAACAGAGAUCGAAAUGAAUGGUUGUGGGAAGAGCUGAAACGAGGUUUUAUGGAGAGAUGAAAGGUAUGGGGUUGGCCACUAUAAGCAAAAUCAGCGUGUUUCAGAGGUUGUUUCCCCACGUCCCACGACUCUGGUUAGGGAAGGAUGAUGAAAUAUGACCAUGAAAAAAGUGAAAGGGAAUUUUGAUUGGUUGAAAAGUUUGACUUGGUCAAAGAAGUAUUUUAUAGUGGAUUUGGUGUGCCAAGUCAGAAGUCCAUUAUGGGGUUAAUGGUUGGUCGCUAAAAUAAAAAAUUUUCUAAGGCAGUGACUAAAAUACAAAUCUUUUAAUUUGAGGGAUAAAACUAGAUAGUUUACCCAAAAUAUUUUUAGAUGACACUGAAACGUGUUCCUCACAUUUAGCCCCGUAUUCCGAGUGUCAGUGUCACCAGUAAAGGGAGCGAAUGUAAUACUUUUCUUCUCAUGGCUGCUUCAAAUGAAUCUGACCACCUUCUUUUUGCACGCACCGACAUAGGUAAUUAAUGCUAAUUAAGUGGGAUCGAAAAGGUAAAGAGGAGAGAGAGAAGAAAUAAAAUGGAGAGCUCCGGUGUAGUGUCAACCACAACUCCGACGUCUUUCAGGCUCCGAUGGGACGUGUUCCUCAGUUUCAGAGGCGAAGAUACUCGUCACGGUAUCACCAACACCCUGUAUUGCUCGCUUGUGGGAGAAGGCUUGCGAGUCUUUCGAGAUGAUGACGCUUUGAGACGUGGAGACGAGAUCGCACCGAGUUUGGUGGAAGCCAUCGAAGACUCGGCUGCUUUCGUUGUCAUUCUCUCUGAAAAUUACGCUACCUCCCAUUGGUGCCUUGAAGAAUUGGCGAGGAUCUGCGAGUUGCAUAGCCGGAGCCGGAGACUGGUUCUGCCUGUGUUCUAUGGGGUUGACCCCUCUCAUGUUCGAAAACAGAGGGGACCUUUUAAGGAAGCCUUCUUUAGCCACGAAAACAGAUUCGGAGAAAAACAGGCCAAC